CGGUAAUUCCAUUUCCAAUAGCGUAUACUAAAGUUGUUGCAGUUAAAAAGCUCGUAGUUGGAUUUCUGCGGGGACGGAGCGGCCGGUCGCAACUUGCGACUCGAGCUAGCGCUUUCCCCGCAUCCUGCCGCGAACCGUGCUACCAUUAGUUUGGUGGCGCUGGGGAUCGGCUCGAUUACUUUGAGAAAAAUAGAGUGUUCAAAGCAGGCCACACGCCUUGAAUAAGUUAGCAUGGAAUAAUGACUAAGGACUUUGGUUCUUUUCGUUGGUGUUCGGGACUGAAGUAAUGAUUGAUAGGGACAGUUGGGGCGGUCCGUAUUCCAAAGCGAGAGGUGAAAUUCUUAGACCUUCGGAAGACGAACAGCUGCGAAAGCGUUCCGCAAGGAUGUUCCCUUUGAUCAAGAACGAAAGUUGGGGGAUCGAAGACGAUCAGAUACCGUCGUAGUCUCAACUAUAAACUAUACCAGCUAGGGAUCGGCCAACGUUUAAUUUAUCGACUUGGUCGGCACCUUAUGAGAAAUCAAAGCAUCUGGGUUCCGGGGGGAGUAUGGUCGCAAGGCUGAAACUUAAAGGAAUUGACGGAAGGGCACCACCAGCCGUGGAGCCUGUGGCUUAAUUUGACUCAACACGGGAAAACUUACCAGGUCCAGACAUAGGAAGGAUUGACAGAUUGAUAGCUCUUUCUUGAUUCUGUGGGUGGUGGUGCAUGGCCGUUUUUAGUCGGUGGAUGUGAUCUGUCUGCUUAAUUGCGUUAACGGACGAGACCCCAGCCUGCUAAAUAGCGCGGCCGAGCUUUGCUCGGUGCGAGCUUCUUAGAGGGACCAUGAUGCGCGAUAGCACAAGGAAGUUUGGGGCAACAACAGGUCUGUGAUGCCCUUAGAUGUUCUGGGCCGCACACGGGCUACACUGGCGCCUGCAACGAGCAUAUCAGCUGGCCCGAGAGGGUCUUGGCUAAUCUUUGGAACCGGCGCCGUGCUUGGGAUUGACCAUUGCAAUUGUUGGUCAUGCAACGAGGAAUGCCUUGUAAACGCGAGUCAUCAGCUCGCAUUGAAUACGUCCCUGCCCUUUGUACACACCGCCCGUCGCUCCUACCGAUGAAUGUUCCGAUGAAAUUUUCGGAGAGCACCAGAGAACGGGGCUCCGCCUUGCAGAUCUGGAGGCUCAAAGUCACUUAAAUCUGAACAUUUCGAGGAAGGAGAAGUCGUAACAAGGUAGCCG
rnacentral:rRNA from 1 species